UAGAUAAUGGCAUUGAGGAUAUGGGGAGGGGGAAGGAACAUCUGGGACGAAGUGAGAGAGUGGCAUGGACAUAUAUACACUGCCAACUGUAAAACAGAAAGCUAGUGGAAAGCGACCACAUAGCACGGGGAGAUCAGCUCGGUGCUUUGUGACCGCCUAGAGGGGUGGGAUAGGGAGGGUGGGAGGGAGGGAGAUGCAAGAGGGAGGAGAU